rnacentral:lncRNA from 1 species
ACUAAGAAAUAUUAAAGGGUAUCAAUUGAAGCAGGCAAACAAGAAUGAUAAAUAAGGAAAUUAUAAUAUUGUUUUUCUCAGUGUUAGGAAAUAAAAUCCUGUAGGCUAUUGUGGUAAUAAAUGUGAUGCAAAGAUCUCAUGUCUUUGUUUUCCUAUAUUAUGAAAUCUUAUUUUAAAUGACAAUCUGAGGGUAAAUCACACUACACCUCCAUUUCCUAUACUUUACCAUUGUGUAUUAUAAACAGUGAGUAUCAGAUAUCUAGGAAAUCUGAAGCCUGCUGCAUGGAUAGCAUUUUAAUCAUAAAUUAAAUGUAACUUUCUGAAGGAUUAGAUCAAUGUAGUGGCAGGUUUAUGACAAAUCUUAUAGCCCUGACAUCCAUCCCCUGUUUAGGUAACUUGAAAAUUUUGGGGUAAAAAUUAGUGAAAGUUAUGCUUAGGUCCAAAGGCCCCAUAUAUAACUUUUUUUCCCACUUUUUUUUUAUUAUUAUUAUACUUUAAGUUUUAGGGUACAUGUGCACAAUGUGCAGGUUUGUUACAUAUGUAUACAUGUGCCAUGCUGGUGUGCUGUACCCACUAACUCGUCAUCUAGCAUUAGGUAUAUCUCCCAAUGCUAUCCCUCCCCCCUCCUCCCCACCCAACAACAGUCCCCAGAGUGUGAUGUUCCCCUUCCUGUGUCCAUGUGUUCUCAUUGUUCAAUUCCCACCUAUGAGUGAGAAUAUGCGGUGUUUGGUUUUUUAUCCUUGCGAUAGUUUACUGAGAAUGAUGAUUUCCAAUUUCAUCCAUGUCCCUACAAAGGACAUGAACUCAUCAUUUUUUAUGGCUGCAUAGUAUUCCAUGGUGUAUAUGUGCCACAUUUUCUUAAUCCAGUCUAUCAUUGUUGGACAUUUGGGUUGGUUCCAAGUCUUUGCUAUUGUGAAUAAUGCCGCAAUAAACAUAUGUGUGCAUGUGUCUUUAUAGCAGCAUGAUUUAUAGUCCUUUGGGUAUAUACCCAGUAAUGGGAUGGCUGGGUCAAAUGGUAUUUCUAGUUCUAGAUCCCUGAGGAAUCACCACACUGACUUCCACAAGGGUUGAACUAGUUUACAGUCCCACCAACAGUGUAAAAGUGUUCCUAUUUCUCCACAUCCUCUCCAGCACCUGUUGUUUCCUGACUUUUUAAUGAUCGCCAUUCUAACUGGUGUGAGAUGGUAUCUCAUUGUGGUUUUGAUUUGCAUUUCUCUGAUGGCCAGUGAUGAUGAGCAUUUUUUCAUGUGUCUGUUGGCUGCAUAAAUGUCUUCUUUUGAGAAGUGUCUGUUCAUAUCGUUUGCCCACUUUUUGAUGGGGUUGUUUGUUUUUUUCUUGUAAAUUUGUUUGAGUUCAUUGUAGAUUCUGGAUAUUAGCCCUUUGUCAGAUGAGUAGGUUGUGAAAAUUUUCUCCCAUUUUGUAGGUUGCCUGUUCACUCUGAUGGUAGUUUCUUUUGCUGUGCAGAAGCUCUUUAGUUUAAUUAGAUCGCAUUUGUCAAUUUUGGCUUUUGUUGCCAUUGCUUUUGGUGUUUUAGACAUGAAGCCCUUGCCCAUGCCUAUGUCCUGAAUGGUAAUGCCUAGGUUUUCUUCUAGGGUUUUUAUGGUUUUAGGUCUAACAUUUAAGUCUUUAAUCCAUCUUGAAUUGAUUUUUGUGUAAGGUGUAAGGAAGGGAUCCAAAAGUACCAAAUAUAACAUCAAAAUCACUGUCUUCAGUGAGAGUAUGGGAACCUGAGGGCAAACAAAUUAAUGGGCAUUGUUGACAGUCAUAUUCUGGAAACCUUUUAACAGUGAAUUGCUAAAAUAAUCCAUGGCCCAAAUUUGGUCAGUAUUUAGCUUGAAAAUGCUACCCUUUGAGGAAAUAAUUUCUGUUUCAUGACAAUCUUAUUAUACUUUAAACUGUCUAAUUAUAAAAGUAUUGAAGCAACUUUUAAAAGUCCCUUAAAAACCAUACUAAUAUAGCCAAUAUAGUAAUAUACCUGUAUGCCAGUAUCCUGAAUUAUCCAGCUUUUCCCAAACAUACUGUAAAAAAUAUUGAUCGAAGGGAACAGUGGCUGUUUCCUUUGGUCAGUAUUCUUUUGAUUGAGCUCGUUUCUGGAGUUGCUAUCCUGUAUCACUGAACUGUGCCUUUUCCUGAGCCAAUACUGAAGUACCUUACAGGAGAAGCACAUUCGAGUAUUAAGCAUUUUAAGCAAAAUCAGUCAUGUUUUCUAAUAACAUAGACAGUAGGACAAAUACAAACUUUGAAAUGUAAUUUGAAUUCUUUGUCCGUGAGUCAAGGGUUCUUGGUAAGCCUCAAUCUCUAAGCCUCAGUUUUCUUAUUUAUAAAGUGGGGCUAACAUCCCUAUGCAAAUGGGCUUUAUUCAUGGUGUUACAGGGUAGGGUUACUUGGCACUCUACAUGCUAUUAAAGGGUGCUUACAACACCAUUGACACCAUGGCUGAGAUAAUCAUACAACAACAUUCUAAGAACAUCAAAUUAAACUAGUGAAAUAAUGUACAUUUGUAUAUAUAAAAUUAAAUGGUUUCAUCUGAUUUAGCAAGGACUGUAUUUUUAAGCAUGCAAAAUAAACCUCAAAAAAAGAGAGAAGAUUCGUUGCAUCCAGGGACUUCAUGAAGCUGCAAACUACACUCUUCACUUUUCCAGCCACAUUUCAGCAAGUGUUUGAGAACCUUUUCUAAUGUUUUCUUUCUUCUGUUACUGUUUAUGGCAUAAUGCAUGAUGCACAUAUAGGCCUCCUCUGCCCCCACCGCCACCAUAGACAUUCUUUCUUUCCCUUCCCAGCACCUUUAAUCUCAGCAGCACCCUGAUCUUCUUCUCUCUCCUGACCAUGUGUAGGAUCUUGACUUUCAGUGGGUGGUUUCUCUUCUUGAGGUUCUUCAUCACUGGGCUGCUGGGACGAGGGGUGUGUGUUUAUGCAGAUUAGAAAGUUCUGUUAUCAAUAUAUGUCAAUAAUAUAAAUGUACAGAAUACAUAUUUUUCAUCAUAAGUCUAAAGACAUUUCUCCAACACUAUUCCAUAUCCUUAUUCUUCAUAAAGUUACUCUUCCCACAGGGAGGUCAUACUCUAAGACAGUUACCUUCAAGGGCUUUGGAAGCCAUUUUAAUUUAUGUUGGGAGGAAUGUGUGUAAUCUGUUAUGAAUAAACAUGGGGAGGAAAUCAUGGGUGAAAUCUGGGGAACACAAGAUCAUUCAUCCACACAAAACCAGAAUGUAAUCCUCUUGGGCUUGCCUUUCCUUCAUGAGAUGCCAUGAUCAUUUUUCAGCAGCAGACCUUUAUUAGUAUAUGUACGCUAGUUCAACAAGACUAUCACAAAUAGAAAUUUCUGCUAACAGAAAACAUGGAAUGUUAAGGCACUAAUGAGCAUAAGCCCAAUCAGUCCAGGAAACUGUAAACUUCCUCUUGGUCUAGGCUUAUAUGUUGAUCUUCCUUGCCAACUCAUAUUUCAUUCUGCAAACAGAAUACUGUGAUUGGGAAAGUGCACUUGAGAGGAUUGCUGUAUUUGACCACUUCCAUCGCCAUAUGUAAACUUGUAAUUUUAUUAAAAUUUGGAAAUACUUUGAAAGUAAGUCCCAGGACAAGUUUAAGUGUGUGUGCCUUCUGAAUCGAAUGCUUGCAAAGCCACUUAAGGUGGUCAAGUUAGCAGUGUCUUAAGGCUCCUGGCAAAAGACACAGGGUAUUUCUGAUGAGGUUUAGUUUCACAACUGGACUUUCCAUAGUGGAGACAUAUAGGAAAAUACAGCUACAGAAUUCAAAUUGGAGUGAACACAGCUUUCGUUACACAUCUGUUAGCUAGGCCCAUUUUCCCUCUAAAAUCAAGUUUUGUUGAAAUGCACAACCCAGCCCAUU